AUAAUAAUCUAGUAUAUUAGGACGCUCCAUUUUCCUUCUGGUUUGCCAUUACAUAAGAUGGCGCCAUUAGAAAUUAAAAACUUGUCCUGCAAAAAAGUCAUUGUAGAGCUGUGAAUGGUAAAAUAAGGGCAGGAGUCAACAAAUGGUAAAUUGCUCUGUCCUCUUUAAAGGGAACCUGUCACCAGGAUUUGGGGUAUAGAGCAGAGGACAUGGGUUGCUAGAUGGC